rnacentral:rRNA from 1 species
GAUGAACGCUGGCGGCGUGCCUAAUACAUGCAAGUCGGGCGAACGGACGAGAAGCUUGCUUCUCUGAUGUUAGCGGCGGACGGGUGAGUAACACGUGGAUAACCUACCUAUAAGACUGGGAUAACUUCGGGAAACCGGAGCUAAUACCGGAUAAUAUUAUGAACCGCAUGGUUCAAAAGUGAAAGACGGUCUUGCUGUCACUUAUAGAUGGAUCCGCGCUGCAUUAGCUAGUUGGUAAGGUAACGGCUUACCAAGGCAACGAUGCAUAGCCGACCUGAGAGGGUGAUCGGCCACACUGGAACUGAGACACGGUCCAGACUCCUACGGGAGGCAGCAGUAGGGAAUCUUCCGCAAUGGGCGAAAGCCUGACGGAGCAACGCCGCGUGAGUGAUGAAGGUCUUCGGAUCGUAAAACUCUGUUAUUAGGGAAGAACAUAUGUGUAAGUAACUGUGCACAUCUUGACGGUACCUAAUCAGAAAGCCACGGCUAACUACGUG